rnacentral:rRNA from 1 species
CCUAGCCCUUCAGAGGGGGACAACAGUUGGAAACGACUGCUAAUACCGCAUACGAUCUGACCUCGGCAUCGAGGAUAGAUGAAAGGUGGCCUCUAUUUAUAAGCUAUCACUGAAGGAGGGGAUUGCGUCUGAUUAGCUAGUUGGAGGGGUAACGGCCCACCAAGGCGAUGAUCAGUAGCCGGUCUGAGAGGAUGAACGGCCACAUUGGAACUGAGACACGGUCCAA